UGAGAAGCAGGGUUGGUGGAGUCCCCUGUCCCCAGAGAGGGUGACUUGUCACCCCUGCACUGACCCUUUGGGAAUGUCACCACAAACAGAGAGUCUUGCCCUGUCACUCAGGCUGGAGUGCAAUGAUGCCAUCUCGGCUCACUGCAACCUCCGCUUCUCGGGUUCAAGUGAUUCUCCUGCCUCAGCCUCCUGAGUAGCUGGGAUUACAGGGUCAGUGGCUCACUCCUCCUUCUGAACCAGCAGCUUACCUCCAGCAAAAUGAUCCUUUCAGGCUGACUGUGAAAUAGCAGACAUCUGAGUCCUCUGUUAUAGGUUAUUAAAUCUAAA
rnacentral:lncRNA from 1 species